AAGAAAGACUGAGGAAUACAUUGGAAGAGCCUGCCUAAGGAGCCAUGAUGACUAAGUGUAAUGUGGAAUCCUGAAGGAGAUCCUGGGACAGAAAGAGGACAUCCCUGGAAAAACCUAGUGAAAUCCAAUGAGCCAUCCUAUGACAGCCAUUCUGUGUGAUCCAUCAGUGGGUGCCCAAAACAAGAAAAGUGUGUGUAACACAAGCCCAAAGAUCCAGGAAGCCAGAAAAAAAAGAGUCCAGAAAUUCUGAAAUGUAUCCUCUUUUUCCAUGCAAGAAAAUACAGUGGGUUCUUUCCUGGAUUAUUCACUAAAUGAUUCAAAUGACCCUCCAGUGAAUUCCUACCUGAAAUCCUGUUCGCAAACGUCACUGAA